CAGGUGCUGCUGGCUGUCNUCAGCUCGUGUUGUGAAAUGUUGGGUUAAGUCCCGCAACGAGCGCAACCCUUAUCCUUUGUUGCCAGCGGUUNGGCCGGGAACUCAAAGGAGACUGCCAGUGAUAAACUGGAGGAAGGNGGGGAUGACGUCAAGUCAUCAUGGCCCUUACNACCAGGGCUACACACGUGCUACAAUGGCGCAUACAAAGAGAAGCGACCUCGCGAGAGCAANCNNACCUCAUAAAGUGCGUCNUAGUCCGGAUUGGAGUCUGCNACUCGACUCCAUGAAGUCNGAAUCGCU
rnacentral:rRNA from 1 species